ACAGCGGCUCCAACCACAACCACAGUGGCUCCAACCACAACCCCAACAGCUCCAACCACAACAGCAGCUGCAACCACGGCAGUCCCAGUGUCAACAACAGCAGUUCCAGCCCUAAUAAAGUUGCUCACUUUUACGUCUGAUGAAAAUUUCACCUCAGAUUUGGCAGACUCAUCAUCACAAGCAUUCCAAACACGUUCUGGACACAUAAGGAAUCGAGUUGAGCCACUUUUAAGAAAAGCUUUCUCUUCAUUCCGAAAGACUGGAGCUAUGACAUUCAGUGCUGGAUCAAUCAUCAACUCUGUGGACCUUGAAUUUGACUCAUCAUCCACUCCUAAUGAUACAGAAAUUGAACAGGUUUUGGUUAAUGAGGCUUCAAACAUCACAGAAUUCGACGUAAUAACUGACACGAUUGCCAUUAGUGACCAAGGUUCUCUGACGACAACAAUAGCUCCAACCACAACAGCUGCUCCAACUACAACCACAGCUGUUCCAACCACAACCACAGCUGCUCCAAC